CUCAGGACUUUACAGUUAGCUUUCCUGAGGUUGGACCACCAAGACACAAGUGCUCGGCAAGGCAAGGAAGAAGUUUCUCUCGAAUUCGAUUGGGCUGAGAUAAGUCACAAGAGGGAUGGGGAUGGUGCCGAGAGGGAGGCACUGACUACACAAACAGAGUCAUGGCCAGAGCCUCAAGAUGACUCGGCUUUAAGUCUGGUGAAGCCUUGAAGAACAAGCGUUCCUAUUCAGCGGCAUCUGAAAACUUGGAAUUCAUUCAGUUAAAGUAGUAUCUGCUGAACAUUUAUUUGUUCUGUGUUGCCCAUUGUCCUAGACAGUGAGUCUCAAUAGGGCGUGAGCCAGGCCAUUGGAUAAUUCAAGUUGUAUACAUGGGAUGCAAAUGGGACAGCUGUGUAUGGGAGUAUGUUCUUUUAAGGGCUAAAGGGAGUGCCCCAGACAUGCUAGAGCAAGUCAGUGCGUCUUCAAAGAGACCCCUUCCUUGGAUCCUCAGGGUUGCCACCACACACUCACACAGCCCUCCUAAAUGAGAUCCCUGUGCUUUCAAGUUUCAGGAACAAGCAAGAUCAGCGAACGAGACUUUGUGUCUCAACACAUAUCUGGUCUCUGCUUUUAAGGAUUGUUUUUGCUUGGGAUUUUUUGUUUUUUUGUUUUUGUUUUUGUUUUGCUUUGCUUUGCUUUGCUUUGCUUUGCUUUGCUUUUCAGGCACAUUUUCAGGUGUUUUUUCUUUCCUUCAGUGAUGACCCAUCCAUUUAGCCUCUUCACACAGGACAAGCUCUGCAUCUGACACUCACCAAUGGACUUUGAUAGACUGAGUGUGCUUGGUUGUUCCUUUCUGGGUGGAAUAUUGAGCAAUAAAAUUUGGGAAGAGAUUCAAUUAUUCACACUGUUGGUAAAGACAGACAUACAUCUUGCCCUAAAUUUACCGUAACAUGAGCCUAAGACAUAGGACUCCAUAUGGGCACCUACCCUGGGAGUUGUAUCUGUUUCACUUUUUUGCCAAUGAAGCUGUGCCAUAGAGGAUAAAAGCAGCAGAAACAGGAAGCAGUGACCAAGGAGUGGGCUGGGAAGUUCCAGCUGCCCUCCUGCCCUAGUUAUAGGGAAUAGACGUGACUCAUUGUUAAGAAGCAAACAGAUGUUGACUUGGCUAACAAAAUCCCAUGCAGUAUUUAAGCUCUCAGGGCCCCUGCUUCCUCUUCUGGGAAAAAAUAAAACAAGGACAGGUUAUUAUAUUUGGACACCUGGAUAGCAUUGUUCAAUAAUGGUAUGAAAAAAAUAGGCAGAUAUAUAUUUUUUUUGAAUGUGCUAUUUUUUAUUGACCUUGAAGAUCACCUUCCCCUGGAACAUAACUAUUUAGGGAAGAUGAGCUGGACAAGAGAAGCCCCCACAAUCCAACAACUUUAGCUGUGCGGAUAUGUGAGGUCUACCAUUUAGAAUGAGAUGGAAUUUUCAGGUAUGCACACCAAUGAGCAAAUUCCAGGCCCCUACCCAAACAUAGAAGUCCAGAGGCCCAGCAGUCCAGAGGUUA